CAGUAGCCACGGUAAUACGGAGGAUCCAAGCGUUAUCCGGAUUUAUUGGGUUUAAAGGGUGCGUAGGCGGCUCAUUAAGUCAGGGGUGAAAGACGGUAGCUUAACUAUCGCAGUGCCUUUGAUACUGAUGAGCUUGAAUGUAGUUGAGGUAGGCGGAAUGUGACAAGUAGCGGUGAAAUGCAUAGAUAUGUCACAGAACACCAAUUGCGAAGGCAGCUUACUAAAGUAUGAUUGACGCUGAGGCACGAAAGCGUGGGGAUCAAACAGGAUUAGAUACCCGAGUAGUCCCUGUCUCUUAUAC
rnacentral:rRNA from 1 species